rnacentral:tRNA from 1 species
ACCCGUCUAGCUCAGUCGGUAGAGCGCUGGCCUUUUAAGCCAGUGGUCGUGGGUUCGGCCCACGGGGGUG